rnacentral:rRNA from 1 species
AUUGAACGCUGGCGGCAGGCUUAACACAUGCAAGUCGAGCGGAGAUGAGGUGCUUGCACCCUAUCUUAGCGGCGGACGGGUGAGUAAUGCUUAGGAAUCUGCCUAUUAGUGGGGGACAACAUUCCGAAAGGAAUGCUAAUACCGCAUACGUCCUACGGGAGAAAGCAGGGGAUCUUCGGACCUUGCGCUAAUAGAUGAGCCUAAGUCGGAUUAGCUAGUUGGGGGGGUAAAGGCCUACCAAGGCGACGAUCUGUAGCGGGUCUGAGAGGAUGAUCCGCCACACUGGGACUGAGACACGGCCCAGACUCCUACGGGAGGCAGCAGUGGGGAAUAUUGGACAAUGGGGGAAACCCUGAUCCAGCCAUGCCGCGUGUGUGAAGAAGGCCUUAUGGUUGUAAAGAACUUUAAGCGAGGAGGAGGCUACUGAGACUAAUACUCUUGGAUAGUGGACGUUACUCGCAGAAUAAGCACCGGCUAACUCUGUGCCAGCCGCCGCCGUAA